AGUGAACGCUGGCGGCAGGCCUAACACAUGCAAGUCGAGCGGCAGCGCGUCCGACCACCCUCGGGUGGUCGGAUGGCGGCGAGCGGCGGACGGGUGAGGAAUGCAUCGGAAUCUGCCUCGUUGUGGGGGAUAACGUAGGGAAACUUACGCUAAUACCGCAUACGACCUACGGGUGAAAGUGGGGGGACCUUCGGGCCUCACGCGAUGAGAUGAGCCGAUGCCGGAUUAGCUAGUUGGCGGGGUAAAGGCCACCAAGGCGACGAUCCGUAGCUGGUCUGAGAGGAUGAUCAGCCACACUGGAACUGAGACACGGUCCAGACUCCUACGGGAGGCAGCAGUGGGGAAUAUUGGACAAUGGGGGCAACCCUGAUCCAGCCAUGCCGCGUGUGUGAAGAAGGCC
rnacentral:rRNA from 1 species